rnacentral:lncRNA from 1 species
UUCUUUUGCUCUUUAGUGUGCAGUUCAUUUUUGGCCAGCUGGUGAGAGGGAGUUCAAGUUGAGUUGAGCUGAAGGUUAAUGAACCAGUCGAUAAUGCUGGUGUUUAAAGUUGAAUAUCAAUGAAGACAUCUUGAAAUGGACUUGGGUGACAAUGUGAUUUUCAAUAUGCUGCAUGCAGUUUUUGUUAUCAAUAAGUGGAGAAGUAUGACUGGAAGCAAAGCUGCAAGAAAAGGAAAUGGUCUCGGAGGAAAUGUGCAGUCGUUUCGCAGUCUGACUCCUGUUCAAGCUGUUCCUAUCCUGGAUUGUGCUGGAAUCUUUGAAGUAGCUGAUCCUGAAGGUGUUAUGUUGGAGUUUUCUUGAAGAAGCUGAUGUUGGUGUUAUCUACUUACUGUGCCAGUGCGACGUGUCGAUAAAAAUAUUGCAGCCAUGUAACAUGUGAUUGAAGUAACCUUAAGCUAUUUUGUUUUCUAAUAUGGUUUGUUGCAAACUGAUGCUAGGUUAAAAGUUGUGGUUUCUGAUUUUUCCCUCACCCCACUUUUUUUAAAUAAUUCUUGAGAUGUUGAGGCUAACUUGCAAUAUUUCGUUGUGCGUUGAAAUUUCUUUUUGAUAUUUUAUUCACAACUAGCGUGAAAUGUUGAAAUAAAUAAAAACAACAAC